UACGUAGGGUGCGAGCGUUAAUCGGAAUUACUGGGCGUAAAGCGUGCGCAGGCGGUGAUGUAAGACAGGUGUGAAAUCCCGGGGCUCAACCUCGGAACUGCAUUUGUGACUGCAUCGCUGGAGUGCGGCAGAGGGGGAUGGAAUUCCGCGUGUAGCAGUGAAAUGCGUAGAUAUGCGGAGGAACACCGAUGGCGAAGGCAAUCCCCUGGGCCUGCACUGACGCUCAUGCACGAAAGCGUGGGAGCAAACAGG
rnacentral:rRNA from 1 species